UACGAAGGGGGCUAGCGUUGCUCGGAAUCACUGGGCGUAAAGGGUGCGUAGGCGGGUUUUUAAGUCAGGGGUGAAAUCCUGGAGCUCAACUCCAGAACUGCCUUUGAUACUGAAGAUCUUGAGUCCGGGAGAGGUGAGUGGAACUGCGAGUGUAGAGGUGAAAUUCGUAGAUAUUCGCAAGAACACCAGUGGCGAAGGCGGCUCACUGGCCCGAUACUGACGCUGAGGCACGAAGGCCAGGGGAGCAAACGGG
rnacentral:rRNA from 1 species